rnacentral:rRNA from 1 species
ACCGGCAGCUCAAGUGGUGGCCAUUUUUAUUGGGCCUAAAGCGUUCGUAGCCGGUUUGAUAAGUCUCUGGUGAAAUCCCGCAGCUUAACUGUGGGACUUGCUGGAGAUACUAUUAGACUUGAGGUCGGGAGAGGUUAGGGGUACUCCCAGGGUAGGGGCGAAAUCCUAUAAUCCUGGGAGGAACACCGGAGGCGAAGGCGCCCAACUGGAACGAGACUGACGGUGAGUCGCGAGAGCGAGGGGUGUGAGCAG